rnacentral:rRNA from 1 species
ACGGAGGGUGCGAGCGUUAAUCGGAAUUACUGGGCGUAAAGCGCGCGUAGGCGGCUUUGUAAGUCGGAUGUGAAAUCCCCGGGCUUAACCUGGGAAUGCAUUCGAUACUGCAGAACUAGAGUAUGGUAGAGGGAAGUGGAAUUUCCGGUGUAGCGGUGAAAUGCGUAGAUAUCGGAAGGAACACCAGUGGCGAAGGCGACUUCCUGGGCCAAUACUGGACGACUGAGGUGGCGAAAAGCGUGGGGAGCAAACACGGGAUUAGAUACCC